rnacentral:rRNA from 1 species
GUGCCAGCCGUGCGGUAAUACCGGCAGCUCAAGUGAUGUCCAAUAUUAUUGGGCCUAAAGCGUCCGUAGCUGGCCGCGCAAGUCCGUCGGGAAAUCCACCUGCCCAACAGGUGGGCGUCCGGCGGAAACUGUGUGGCUUGGAACCGGAAGGCUCAGAGGGUACGUCCGGGGUAGGAGUGAAAUCCUAUAAUCCCGCACGGACCACCGAUGGCGAAAGCACUUCGAGAAAACGGAUCCGACAGUGAGGGACGAAAGCCAGGGUCUCCAACCGGAUUAGAUACCCGAGUAGUCC